rnacentral:tRNA from 1 species
GGCUUUAUAGUAUAAAAAUAUAUUGGAUUACAAGUACUAAAGAUGUAGGGACACUAAGGUUUAAGAC